rnacentral:rRNA from 1 species
GACGAACGCUGGCGGCGUGCCUAACACAUGCAAGUCGAACGGAAAGGCCCUGCUUUUGUGGGGUGGUCGAGUGGAGAACGGGUGAGUAACACGUGAGUAACCUGUCCCUCACUUUGGGGUAUCUUCAGGAAACUGGGGCUCUUACCGCAUAGGAUCUAUUGCUGCAUGGUGGGGCUUGGUAAGUUUCGGUGGUUGGGGAUGGAAUAGCGGCUUAUGAGCUUGUUGGUGUGGUAGUGGCUGACCAAGGCUUGGACGGGUAGCCGGCCUGCGAGGGCGACCGGCCACAUCAGGACGGAGAUACGGCCCAGACCCGAACGGGAGGCAAGAGGGGGGAAGAUUACACAGUGGGCGGGAGCCAGGUGCGGCAACGCCGCGUGCGGGAAGAGGUGCUUGGGGUUGUGAACCGAUUUCGCCUGUGACGAGGCGAGAGUGACGGUAACGGGUAAAGAAGCACCGGCUAACUACGUG